GCCCGUUUAGCUCAGUGGUAGAGCGCGCCACUUGUAUUGCAAUGGUGAGGUCGGUUGUUCAAUCCAGCCAAUGGGCA